AGUGGGAGAACUGGGUCAAAUGGUAGUUUCAUUACAAGUUUCUAAGGAAUCUCCAUACUGCUUUCCAAAUUGGUUGCACCCAUUUGCAGUUCCACCUGCAAU
rnacentral:pre_miRNA from 1 species